UUCACGGUAAACGAACGAAUUUGGUUUUGUCAUACCACGUGACAUUUUCCCUCACAUGUAUUGCCCUGACACAUUGCUAGAUGUCAAUCAGGGACGGCGAUUGUGAAUUGACGAUAAAUUAAAAGGGUGUUUUAAUUUAUCAAUUUUGAUUAGAUCAAAAUAAUAUUUCACGUCGUUAGGCAUCGUGGUCGGGAACCUAAUGGGUCACACACAAAAGAGAAUUGGAAGAUUGCAAAUUGCCAAUUGAUUAAUUUAACAAUCGUUGGAUAAAUUAAUUAAUUGGAUUUGUUAUUUAUAUUUUCGAAUUAAUUAAUUGGAUUAAUUAAUUCACG
rnacentral:lncRNA from 1 species